rnacentral:rRNA from 1 species
AUUGAACGCUGGCGGCAGGCCUAGCACAUGCAAGUCGAGCGGAUGAAGGGAGCUUGCUCCUGGAUUCAGCGGCGGACGGGUGAGUAAUGCCUAGGAAUCUGCCUGGUAGUGGGGGAUAACGUCCGGAAACGGGCGCUAAUACCGCAUACGUCCUGAGGGAGAAAGUGGGGGAUCUUCGGACCUCGCGCUAUCAGAGGAGCCUAGGUCGGAUUAGCUAGUGGGUGGGGUAAAGGCCUACCAAGGCGACGAUCCGUAACUGGUCUGAGAGGAUGAUCAGUCACACUGGGACUGAGACACGGCCCAGACUCCUACGGGAGGCAGCAGUGGGGAAUAUUGGACAAUGGGCGAAAGCCUGAUCCAUCAAUACCGAGUGAGUGAUAAAGGCCCUAGGGUUGGAAAGCUCUUUUAGCAAGGAAGAUAAUGACGUUACUUGCAGAAAAAGCCCCGGCUAACUCCGUG